rnacentral:ncRNA from 1 species
GAAAGCCGUGUGCAUUGAAAGGUGCCCGCACGGUUUGGAGGGAGGCGUAGGGAUAUCCUCUCACGAGGUGUCCCGCGCCUACCCUAC